CGCGAUCCGCGUUCCGGUCCUUUGUCCCGAGCCGGGCACCCCCACCUGGUGCACGCGUCGGGUGCGGCGAUCGCGGCUCUCCCGGGGUGCGGCGGGCUGCGCGCCCCGCACCCCCGUGGCUCGAGCUGUUCCCACUCGGGCCCCUCUCUCUGGCAGGGAGGCUGCGAGGAGCCUGGGCAACCCGAGUCGCCCCCUUCCUGCCCAUCCCCCACUGCUGUCCCCCUUCUGGGGUCCCGGAGCCCUCCAGGACCGGGGCGGCUCAGACCCGCGCGAACGCGGAUGGGCGCACAGUCUGGCUCUUCCCCGCUCUGUUUUGCCGAGGCGCCGGUAAUCUGUCUCUUGCCGGUGACCUCGAGCGCCCCCUCUGCCGCCGCCCGAGGAAGCCGCUGAGACCCGCUUUGUGACCGUGACCCGCCAAGCGUCGACGCGCCGCGGUCAUUUGUCCUCUUUUGCUUUGUGUAGAGUCUAAUGGAGCCACCAGUGCCCAGCGCGGCCGGAACCCUCCCCCGACACAAACAGGCUCCCAAUGGCUGGAAAAACAAAUCUCUCACAGCUUGAAUUUUCCUCCAGCGGAAUCCCCUGGAGUUCUGAGCUUGGGUGAUGAUUCUGUUUCUGUGUCUUAACUCUCUUGAGCCAGAACAAAGACAAAUCCCGGAUUUCUCCAUCCGUCUGGGGCACUAGAGAAGACCCAGAGCUGGCUCCAGGGAAGGGCUGCAUUUGGCUUGGGAGAGGAAUGACAUUUGAGGGGACGCUUUCUUUUUCCCCAAGCUUCACCUGUAGUGGAAGCCUGUUUGAAAAGUGACAGCAAAAUCCAGCCUGUGUGUUGGCAGCGAGUCUGCAAAUGGAAGCAAAAAAGGUCAGGACACUAAACGAGAUUAAAUAAUUUGCCCAAGGACAUGCCGUUUGUAAGGAGGAGAACUGGAUUUCAAAUCUGAGUCUGAGUGUCUGCAAAGCCACUGGGGUUUCCACCUUAUUGCUGCAGCCUGAGAAAGAUUUGAUGUAAGCUGCCCAUGAUGGGAGGAGCUUUCAUGGACUCGCCCAACGAGGACUUCAGCACCGAGUACUCCCUGUUUAACUCCUCUGCCAAUGUCCACGCAGCUGCCAACGGCCAGGGCCAGCCGGAAGAUCCUCCUCGGUCCUCCAACGACGCCGUCUUGCUAUGGAUUGCCAUCAUAGCCACGCUGGGGAACAUCGUGGUGGUGGGUGUGGUGUACGCCUUCACCUUCUGAGGACGGCGCACCCUCCACCACCAUGGGGUGAGGCUUGGCACGUAGCUCUGACUUGCUGUUGGCCUUUGGCUGCUCUCAUGGUCUAGAACCAGGAGUUUUGACCAGAGGCAGCAGCCAUCCUUCUGGAAUUUCCCCCCAGCAGCCCUGAUUUCAAAUAUCCCAUGUUGUGGUCAAGCUGAGUCAGAAGACAUGGAAGUAUGGGCCUCCCACCCCUAGAGGCAUGAUGGGGCAAGGCCUUCAGAGGGCAGAUUGGGGAUCCUUGAAACUACAUUCCAGGAACAGGAGACUAGAUGGAACAGCUAGUUAGGUUUAAAACAUAGGCACGGUUUGAUGGUCGCUUGCUGGUGGUAAAUAAUCACUCGUGUGUCUUGUUUUUAUGCAAACUUAUCGAACCUAGGGUGUGGGGUGCUGGGGCAGGAGCGACCCUCAGGACUUCAGUGUUCCCGACCCAAUUCUGGUUUAACAUUCAGUCCCUUGGCCACCUAGUAGGGCCAUUGGAUGUUCCUAAUUUGACUUUGAAAUGGCACCUUUGUCACGAGACACCCGGUCCCUUCCAAGACCCAAGUGCAUCCGGAGACCCAGGGAUGGGAGGUUACUGGUCAUAGGGUGGGGUUUCUGGGAGUGUUGUUAGUGGUUUUUAUCUCCUGGCUGGACUUUCUCUUCUUUUGAAGAAGAGGAGGGGAGAGGAUGGGAGAGGAUGUCUUUAACAGCUAGAUCUGCCAGGCAGUGGACUCUUCAGGCCACCCACGUGAGGACACUCUUUCUUCUCUGAGGAAUCGUGGAAUUUUAAAGAUGAACAAGAUUCAUGUCCACUGAAUUAUUCAAUGCAUGGGUCAGAGAGGGGGGUGAUUUGCCUGUGGUCACCAGGCACGUUCGUGGAGGAGUCGGGACAGGAAGAUGUGUCCUCUCUGUUUCAGCUCACUGCUCUCUCUCACUGCUCAGCUCACUGCUCUCUCUGCCCCAACUAAGCACUUCCCUGAGGAGGUUGCCGAGAAGCUGCCCUGGGGAGAAUGUCCAGGCAUCUUGAAGGUGGAUGCAAGAUUGGCAGGCUGCUCAGUCACCCGUCCUUUACACUCAGUGUGGAUACCAUGCAUUCUCCUGCAGCGUGAAAGUGCUUCUGCCCAAGCCACUUCCUUAAAUUCUCAAAAAUCAGCAUCUGGGGUCCUGGCAAACAAGGAAGCUUCCAAGUAAAAACCAGAAAGAAGGGCACACUUUUCUUUCUUCCUUAGGAAAUCUUAUUGCACAGGACCGACCCCCAGCCCCACACCUUCCCAAGGCAGCCUCCCUGUGCAGAUAGAGUGAGAAAGGUCCCAGAAGGGGGCUCACUCAUCUCUAGGCCCAGAGAGGCUUUCUCCUCACUUUGUACACUGCAAAAAAAAAAAAAAGAGAAAAAUUGUGUCAAUAACACCCUCUGUGGUAGAGAAACUUUAAAAGCUGGUUAGGAAGCUCGCGUGUAGGUUUAGGGACAAUUACAAGAAAGCUGGACUUUUCACUCUGGUCUCAGGAGAAAUGAGCGUUCUUGACGACAGGCAAAGGGACGUCUUAGGUGUCCAGAAGCAGCAUUCUUCCCUGGAAGCCGCCAUGGUAAUAGGAUUCCUAACUUGGCUCCAGACAGUGCCUGCUCAUGGCUGCCAGUUCCUACUGAUCACAUCCGUCACUGCCGCCGUUUAUCAUCUGCCAGUGCGUCAGCUUAAGGGGAGGUCACGAGUGCAAAGAACCUGACUUUGGCAUUAAGGGAGAAGGGACACAGACCACCUGCCUGGAAUUCCUGGAAUCACUGACAGGGUGGAGGCUGGGCUGGGGAGUUAGCCACGGCGUGCGUGGGUGGCUGUGUCUCCAGCAAGUCUCUCUCCCUCAAACCCCAGGUCUGCUCCAUAAGCAAGAUCUUUAACAGAUGGAUGUCUCCAUGAGAAAACCCAAGGCGAGAAGCCCAGAGCCAAGGCGGGGUUGCGUGAUGUCCUCAUGGAGUCACUCUGCCUCACACGCUCAGAUCUUCCCUUCUGGCCCCACAUCCCCAGGAGGGCCUGACCCCUGUAAAGAUGCAGGAGGCAGCUGCCUGGCUUCCAAAUGGCCCGUGGAGAUGGCAGUCGAGAGAGGAGGUUCUGUGUUUGCUGCGGCAACGGGAGGUGAAGGCAAUGGCAGGAGAAAAGGAUGGCUUCUAGCCCUGAAGAGGACUCCAGCAUCCCAGGAACUGGGCGCUUCCGGCUGCAGGAGUUUUCCCUAUGGAGGCCCCUCAGCCUCCAGCCCUUAACAUAAAUGUCAGUUAAAUUCAGUUUUCAAGCUUCUCUCGCUUUUCAGUAUCAGAGCGGUAGAUGGUCCAGGGCAUUGGAGACCUCGACCACUCUGCAUUGCAGAUUACAGUGACUUCCUUGGGGUUGCUCCAUCUUGGUCUCCUAUGGUUUCUUUAUCAACUUUGUUUACCACCAUCUCUCAAACAACAAUGAAGAUAGAUGCGCCCAUUAGUGUCUGAUUAAGGAGCAAAGGAUGGAUUUCCGGCCAGAGCGAGCUGCACUCUCCCUCCUGCCUCAGCGGGGGUCCGUCUUAGCAGUUCGGAAAGGGGAGAAAGAUGCCGGUCCUCACUGCUUGAAUUAUGUGUCCAGGUGCCGCUAGACUUGCAUGCACACUAACUCCUUACAAUCACCACACAGCAUCAUCGCCCCAGUGCACAGAUGAGGAACCAGAGGCUCAGAGGAAUGAAGUCACCUUCCUGAGGUCACACAGCAUGAAAGUGACAAGCUAGGAUUUGAACCUGGGAAGUUGGGCUCUAAAGCCAGGCUCUUUCUGCCACACAGUACUGCCUUCUGUGACUGGAUGACACCUCCAGGGCACAUUUACACCAGGCCCUGAAUCUGCAGAGGCUGCUUCUCAAGAUGCCCGUCAUGGUGUGGCCUGGGCCAGCUCUGGCUUCCACAGGUCCCUGACCGCCCUCAGAGUGGAAUAUGCUCAACCUCCUGCCCAGUGCUCUCUCUCUGCCCAGAUUUCAGGGGUACCGGUCCCGAAGGCAUGCCCGCUUCUUUAAGACUGAGCUCAAGUCUCCUUGGAAGUCUCCGGUGAAGUUCCCAGAGACUGGUUUUCUUGGGAUGCAGGCAGAAAGGGGACCCUCCCUGGCCAACACCCAGGACCCCAACAGAAGCACCCACACAUAGAAAGAGGCUCACAGCAGCCAGGAGUGCAGAGUCAGAGUCCUGGGACCAUCUUGUUCUGCAAGGUGACAGGGGAGAGGGAUCACCCCUUGUUCAGUCUCUAGCUGGGACCUCUGUACUGGCUUCUCCCUUGAUGGGGUUGCCUGUUAAAUAGCUGUGCCUCAGAGAAAGUGUCCUGCAUUUUCUGGAACGUUCUCUGUGCUUGCCCUUCUGUGUGCCCCUCCAUUGCUCCUCUACAAGCAAUUAGGUGAUUCAAAAGAGCAACUUAGGCUGGGCACAGUGGCUCAUGCCUGUAAUCCCAACACUUUGGGAGGCCGAGGCGGGCAGGGACAGGAGUUCAAGAUCAGCCUGGCCAACAUGGUGAAACCCCGUCUCUACAAAAAAAAAAAAAAAAAAAAUACAAAAAUUAACCAGACAUGGUGGCAUAUGCCUGUAAUCCCAGUUACUCAGGAGGCUGAGACAGGAGAAUUGUUUGAACCAGGAGGCAGAGGCUGCAGUGAGCUGAGAUCGUGCCACUGCACUCCAGUCUGGGCAACAGAACGAGACUCUGUCUCAAAAAAAAAAAAAAAAAAAAAAAAAGAGCAACUUGCUGCUUUGUGAGGUUGUGAGUGGCCACCACUGGAAGUCUUUGAGAAGUGGCCAGACACCACUGUAGCCAGGCCUGUCUUAAGAGGACUUGUGCCUCCAGGGACCCAGGCAGGCAGGAUGAUGGCACAGCUCUUCCUACUCCAAGACAAUGCUGUCCUUCCCCUUUCCCAUGAAGUCAAGGUCAAGAAGCAAAUAAGACUCCCUGCUCCACUCUACCCCCAAGAGAGAAAUGAUUCUCUCUCCUUUCAGAUCCCCCAGGAUCUGAGGGAGAAAGGCUGGGAGGAGGGGCAGCAGCACUUCGCUGGAAAGGCAGCAGACGCUUUUCCAGCCCCGGUUCAGCUGGAAGGCUUGGAGGCCGGCCAGAGCACUCUGGCAUAUCCUGGAGUGGGUCCCUGGAGACUGAAGAGGCUCGGUGGAGUCUGUCUGUUGUCAGCGCUGCUGCCUGAUCCCUGCAAGACAAAUGGCACUUUCCUUCUUCAGAAGCAUGAUCUGCCUUUGUUAUUAGCAGUAAUGUUAUUACCAGUUAUUAUUCUUGCUGGUGUCAGUUUUGCAUAUCUUUUUGUUGCUCUAUUUGUGUCUCAUUUACUUUUCAAAUUGCCCCUGGGGGCAGGAAUGAGGAUGCAGAGAGAUGCACAUUAAUUACUGUCGCAUUUUUCUGUGGAGAAAACUGAGGCCAGAGCCGAUUGCUCACAGCUAAGGAGCUGUGAUUCAGACCCAGUUCUGUCAGCUCUAGAGGCACCUGCAUCCGUGCCCACCAGGGUGAUCCCCCUGGGAUGGACCAUCUCUGGAUUUGGGGCCUCGGAGACUGGGGUUGAGGUUUGGUCCUGAAGAGCUUGUAGCCAGAUUGCCAUGUUCAAGUGUAAGUCCAGGAAAGGGGCAGGCAGCAGUGCACAUGGAUUUAUCAGUUUCAGAACCUCGCAGUGAUAAGAGGCUUUACAGAGCAUCUAAUCGAGACCUUUAAUUUUGGGGGGAGAGCAGCUGAGGCCACAUGGAGAAUUAGUGGAGAGCUGACAAGAGUCUGGGCGCCUGGCCCAGGGGUCCGUGGUCCAGCAUGUUGUGCAUUCAGUGGGAAGCAAAGGGCUUGCCCAGGAUUGCCUGCCCGAGCCCCGAGGUGGCUUGUACUCACUGCAGCUGCCACGGGCCCCCUUUGCUUCAUCCUGGCAGAUGCCCAGUGAUUGUCCCUGAGCAAGUCCCAGGGUUGGGCUGAGCUGCUGUGACAGGGAGGCCCAGGGAGCUCUGCUCAGGGAGCCAAAGGGAACAGUCAGAGCCUGAAUGUUCUAUGUUCACCUGCCCCAGCCCCUCCCACCCUGGCCCAUUCCAUAGGCCCCUGACCAUGGUCACUCCCUGAGAGGGAUGGAGGAGACGGUGGUUGAAUUGAGUGCUGAGAACCCAGAGGGACAGAGUCCACAACUUCCAAACAGGAAAAGGGACCUCUCUGAAAAAUCUGGAUAACCAGAAUUAUCACAGCAUCCACACAUUCCCAGUGCGUCCUUCUGAGAUCAGACCUUGAGCAUUUACUGGGUUUCUUUUUGAGGAGGAGGGAAAGUGACAAAGGACAAAGCAAUGCAACCCAUCAUGACUGAAGACGAUAAAAGACUCCCUGGAGCGAGAAAACAGUUACUGCCAGAAGCAGAAUGGAAGAGCCAAAAAGUACACAAAAUUGACUCCAUAAAUUUUGAAAUAAAAGUGUGUGGUGUGUUCUGAGUCACUGUAGAAGCCAUGCGUUUAUUAUCAAGAUAGAAAAUAAAAGCAGAGAAUGACGUGGCCAUUGGUCCUUGGAGAGGCUGCACAGGCGGUGCGGUCCCCGGGGGGUUCCGGAUGCUGGUCUUCUGACUGUGGCGGCCGCCUCACCCCUGCCCAGAUGGCUCCAUCCAGACAUCUGGUAAGGUCGUCAUCUGCUCCUGGAUCCUUUUUCAAGCUGGUUUCCUGCCUCCCCAAGAGGAGAUUUGAGCCCCAUUCUGCCUUGGAAAUAAAUCCUGACAGUUGUGCACAGCAUAUUUGCAGGGAAUUUGCAGGCCUUGGUUAUUGGGAGAACCAGAGCCCACUCCACACCGAGCCCCGUCCAUGUGGCUGAGCAACACCCCUGUGUCCCCUGUAUCUGUCUCACUGGCUUGCUUUCUGCCAGUUUCUUAAAGAACCACACCAUUACCGCGUUUGACGUUCGAAGCAUUGUCCCAACAGUGCAGAUGGUCCUGACAAGGGCUCUAUACGCUGGCAGAAGGGAGCUUCCAACCUUUUAACCUGAGGAAACUGAGUCUCUGAGAGGCUUGGGAGUGUUGCCAGGUGGAGCUUCUCAGAAGACAGGGGUCUUGAGCCCAGGACACCUAACUAUUGAGUUUUCACUAGGAGACUUAGUGGUGACUUUCAUGAGGCCGGUCGUUCUCAAGGAAGGGCUAGGGGCCAUCAGCAAUGUCUGGAGACCUUUUUGAUUCUCACAGCUUGGUGGGGACUGCUGCUGGCAUCUCAUGGGUGGAGGGCAGGGAUGCCACCGAACAUCCUACAAUGCACAGGGCAGCCCCCCACAAAUAAGAAUUACCCAGCCCCAAAAUGCCAACAGUGCCGAGGUCAGGGAACCCUGCCCUGGACCAUCCUAUCUCUGAUUCCAAAACGAUGCGUGCUUUCCACUUUUCCCCAUUUGUGAGUCAUUGAAUAAAUCAAAGCUCUUCUGAGCAGCAGCAGUGAUCAUGGUCACUGCCAUGAGUUCAAAUAAUGCCAGCGGAGGACAGUGAUCUGGAACUCCCAGCAUGUCAUAUGGGUCUCUUAGAAAUCCAUGUGACUGUUUCCACCAUCUUGGGCAUUUGUGGGGACCCCCAGACUGAAGGCAGAAAACCCUACAAAGUGGAUGGGAGUGUGGGGCUGGAUUUUUCCCCACCCCUAACUUUGUGUCUCUGGGAUCUCCAGGGACCUGGCCCCUCACCAGUGCCUCUGAGGCGCAUGCUUGGGGAAGAGCUUAGGAAUGGGAUGGGCGUGGGAGUGCUGGGUAGCAACCUUUGAGCAAAUCUGCAUCUUAUUUCUGACCUUUUUCCACGUGCUCAGUCCUAUUUCCGCCAGUUGAAGGCAUACUAAUAUUCUUUAUACUAUUUAAUCUUUUGCAGAAACCUUAUUAUUGUAACUUGCUGCUCUCCGGAUACCAGUUCUUCGUGCCGAGAGCAUCGGAAAUGUUUCUGUGUCUUACUGAUGUUUUCAUGAUCAACUUGUAAAUGUAAGCAAUUGACUUCAUAAAAGGUAUUUUAACUAUUCUUGGACCUUUGCUACCCAAGCACCUGGUUUCACCAUGCGAUCACUCACUUUUCUACAGUGAAGACUCUUUCUUAAUGUAGGAUUUCGAUGUGCUCUUUUGAUUAAAAAUAUCUAACCUUAAAAGAUGUAAAAAUGUAUCUGUGAAAUCUUCUCACUUUGUUAGCAUUGUUGCUGUUGUCGUUUUCUAUUAUGAUAAUUGAAGAGAGAAAAGAAGAAAACAUGAA